ensembl:lncRNA
CCGAACUUGGCACCAAGUAUCUCAGAACAGCUGGCAGGUCCAGGGAAAGCAUCCAGCUGAAAUGAAAUAACUAUAUGUGGGAAUAGGGAGACCUGGGGAGCAACUUCCAGGCAAAGCAUGGUUAAGGUUUGCUUUGGGUCCCACAGUGAAUGCACACCUCUGGGACACGUGUGGGAGCCAGCUCUACCAUGUCCAACAGGUCUCCUGUUUGGAGAAAAGACUCUGGGUCCCCAUUGAGCCUUCUGAAAACAGUGCAUGCUUCACUGUGAGCUCCUGAGAUCGUUAGAUGAGGACGCUGUGGAGUAAGCUCUUGAGAGUGUGCCUAUCCCAAAUGUCACAUCUGGAGGCCUGCUGUUUGAAACCAAGCUAUUUUUAGAGUCAUCACAGUUUUCCAACCCAAACUACUCUCAAGCCAGUGGCUGGGCUGUCUGCUCCCUGCAUUGUUUUUCCCUUUCAGAAAGGGUAGUAGGAAAGGCCUGUUCCUGAGGAAAUGUGUUACUAUAAGAACACCUACAAACACCUAACAGUGCAGUUACGCUUUCCUCUGGUGCCACGUUUUUUUUCCCCUUCUCUUCCAUGACUGCUAAGUAUGUCUGUGUUACCACGAAUGAAGUCGUUUAACUCAGAACUCUACAAAGCUGUGUGUUUUCUAUAGACCUGACAUUACUUGAGGUUAGCCCCAGGCUGCUGUUAUAUGAGGUCAAACCCUCCCUUGCUGAACAAAGCUUUUAAUUUCUUCUUAAGCACACCCAGUAAGACUGGCUUCCAAGCUCGUCUCCAUAAAUAUUUGUCAUCCAGGAAUAUAAACCACCCCCCAUUUCUUAUUUAAUUACCCACGUACUUCAACGGGAGAACAGGAGGCCUCCUAUUCUAGUCAGAGUCCUCAUCACAGGUUUGAACUGCCCAAGGAAAAGGACUGGUGUAAAUACAUAAUAACAGCAUCAAGCUGUAUGAAAGCAGCCUUUUCCACAGUCUUCCCCCUGAAAAGCAAGAGGCACUGUGCACCAGGGGCAUAGGCAACCUGAGGAGCAGCUCUUCAGAUCAUCCAACAGAGCGUUUCACAGCCUUUGGUAGUGCACUCUACUCUGCAACGACUGCAGACAAAUGUCAGAACUGGUCAUAUGCUAAGUUUUUAAGUUCACCCUGAAUGGCAAGGUAAUUGUACCUGAGGAUGCAGGUUAUUAAAUAUUUUGUCCCAAGGGAAUCAUUAGAAUAGCCCAUUUCACUCCUGACGUGCUACCUUUAGAAAAUUAAUCAGCAUCAUGAACAUGGCACUGGGGUAAAGACAGUAAGGCAGGAACUGCAGUCACUAUCAAUGAUGAUAUGCAGUAAAUUUCAUCCAGAAAAAAUCCUUCACUGGACAUUCUCACCUACUUUCUGUGUUUGGCAAUAUAUUUGCCUAAGAAGAUGUUUAAAAUUGCCACAUCUGAGACAAAGUCUACCAGUGACAUCUCACCUUCCUUAGAGUUACAUGGCACCGGAGCGAUUUUUCAUUUGACAUGGUGACUAGAUGACUUCAUGUUAGGAGAAGAUAAGAAAUCAACAUUUUGUUGUUACGUGGGUUUUCAAGACUAAUGUGUGAAAAAGCUGCAUAUGAAGGGACACUUAAGGUAGUCAAUGCAAUAAGAAUAUGAAUAUGAAGGGACUCUUAAGGUAGUCAAUGCAAUAAGAAGAAAACAGCAGAUGGCAGCACCAGAUGCGAGUGACACAUCCGUUAGGAUUUUAGGAUCAACACUAUCACCAUCUGUUGUCUAAAAAACUGGAAAACAUACCCACAGCAAGUCAUUAAUACUCACACUGGCAGGAGCAAACAUUUUGGUCUGUGAAAGAAUAAGAGAACACAUUUUGUUCUACCACAAGUCUGAGUUUCAGUAGUUCCAGACAUCACUUCAGUUGUCUAAGGUGUCACAGCAGAGUCCGGAUUGUAUGCAAGAAAUGGGAUUUCUGGGCUGAUGUGAUUCUUGAAACUCUAUUAGGCAUGGGCUGUUGUCUGUUUUACACAGUCGGACAUAACUAACUCAGAUGUGCACAUGCGUUCUCAAUGAGAGGAUAGUUAAUGGAAGAGAAUGCUUAAGGAGGCUGCUGAGUGACCAGCACAAAAAUGAACAAGAGUUUGUCAGUAGCCAUGUUGAUUUGGUUGAUCCUGCACUUGCUAAGGGAAAGAGAGUUCCAGGAUAAUGUUGCAUAGACAAAAACGCCUGCGGUUGGAAAGUAAAGACACUGCUUGCGUGUGCUACCACCAAAUCAUUCUGCUCUUUACUUAUAAAAGGAGGAAAACCCAGCUUUUAUUAUCAGAGAUAAGGCAGUAG